GGAAUUCAGGUUCUCUAAUUCUGGAAAUGGGAGCAUUAUCCCAAUUGACUGGGGACCCGAAAUACAAAUCUGCAGCUUUACGUGCUCAUCGUUGAAUUUACUUGGUACAAACACUGGAUGUAUCAACUGGGGAAUGGAUUGAAUAUUCAACUGGGAUUGGGGCUGGUAGGUUUUCGCAGGACUUUGAGUUCUUCAACGUACUACAUUUUAUGAUGCAUGGUUUAUUGGCUUUCCCAAACAGAGUUUGAUGUUUCUGAUGUUGGAUUAUGUGUUACUUCAUUUAGGGGUUGAUUCAUUUUAUGAGUAUCUAGUUAAGGCUUGCAUUCUUUUUGAAAAGGGGAAGUUCUGGAGAAUGUUUCAUUCUGCUUAUAUUGCUGUGCAGGAAUAUUUCAGACAUGGUCCAAGGUACAGCACUAUUCCCUAGCCUUAUUGAAUGCCAUAAACAAAGUACCAUUAGAGAAGAAACAGAAAUAGAAACUGGUGUUACCAAUAUAUCAUUAAACUUGGAAAGAAUUGUUUAAUUAAUUCAGAAUCACAUCCUUAAUUUCCUUGUUUCUAGAAACUAAUAAUGAAUUGCUAAUCAACUACAAAGUGGAAACGCUAACCAAAGAAUGACUGCCAGUGCAGAACAUAUACAUCAUCCACAACAAACUAGCAGAACCAAAGUGGCCCUUACCUUCAUGAAUGGAUCUCCUUCCUCCCAGCAGAUCUUGCCUUCCUCCCAAUCUCCUUUCAGAAAAGCCUCCUCAUCCUGACCUUGCAACUCAUCAUCUUCCUUGAGGUAUACACCCAAUUUCUUAAGUGGGAGUCCAAAGUGGACCUGUAGAAAAGGAUCUUCACUGCCACAGCCACACAACAUCUCAAGUUGUUUGAGAUCCUAUAAAUGGUCCUCAAAAUACACUGACUUCUCCAUGUUCAAAAUGGUACGGCGAGCCGAUUCCCUUUCCUUAGUCCGUUGCAUCAAUUUUCUGCUUGGUGGAGAAUCAGGUGGACCUUUAAUUAUCUUGUUUGCUUUCAAUAUUGUAUCUGAAAAUCGUAUCUUCAGUGACCAAAUUCGGCUAGCCUUGCAUGGAGAAAGAUUAUGCGAGGCCUGAUCCAUGGCAUGAUGAACAAGGGUAGUCAAGAUCAUCUUUGGUUGAAUCAACUGGCUGAGAAUCAAAAACCCCAAGCCCUUGAGUUUGAAGAACUAGAAGUAGAAGAGCUCUUGCCCUAUUUCAGUUUGGGUGACACUAACAAACCCUUGACUUUGCACAAAGGACAAGUAGUCUUUGGCUUUUUCUCUAUGGCUUUUUUCCACUUGGUCUCAAAAACACCACUGCGAUUCUUGGUUUCUCCAUGCUCAAUUCUCCCAAACCGAUAAUAUCUUAAAGCACUUGAGAAGAUAAGCCUGACAUUAGCAGCAAAGCCAUUAGCGCUGGAGUAGGCACCUCUCUCCAAUUUGGAUUUCACAGUACCGAAAUCCGUCGGCCUCCCGAUGUCGUCAAAAUAACCAGGCAAAUUCUCGGCCACAAGAUCAACCACAUGCUUAACGAAGAACCUUGCAUGGCGGAGCAUCAUGUGAAAACCUAAGAUUUCAGAACAAUACAUCGUUUCUUUCCACCAACACCCAGUUUUGCCUCUUGCUCUUUGGGGUCUGAUGGAGAUCAUCUAAACCCAGCUCCUCCAAUUGGCCAUGCUUUCUAGAAGACGAAGCCAAAGUGAUGAUGGUCUUGCCUUGUUUAUGUGACAAACCCUUGCACAGAGGAAGACAAGCAGUUGGCUUUUCCUCCUUGAAGACCUCUUGCUCUUCUUGCUCCAUGGCUAUGUAUCAAAAUUUUUGUUCACAAUGUAAAUUCUUAUGUAAACGUACCUAAUGCUCAUUGUGUUUUAUGUGUAUGCUUUAUCAGCUUGUCAUAAAGUGAUAAUAUGGUGGUUUGAUGAAUGUGAGUAUGUAUAUUUUGUUUCUGCAGUUGAUUGCUAAGGAAUUUGGAAGUGUGUGUUCCCUUGAGUUUUUUUCUCAUGUGGAAGUGUGUAUGUUUUUUGGUAAUGAGAAGUAAUGUCUUCGGUAA
rnacentral:lncRNA from 1 species